rnacentral:rRNA from 1 species
GUCCCUACGGGGGGCAGCAGUGGGGAAUAUUGGACAAUGGGGGGAACCCUGAUCCAGCGACGCCGCGUGAGUGAAGAAGUAUUUCGGUAUGUAAAGCUCUAUCAGCAGGGAAGAAAGAAAUGACGGUACCUGACUAAGAAGCCCCGGCUAACUACGUGCCAGCAGCCGCGGUAAUACGUAGGGGGCAAGCGUUAUCCGGAUUUACUGGGUGUAAAGGGAGCGCAGACGGUGAGACAAGUCUGAAGUGAAAGCCCGGGGCUCAACCCCGGGACUGCUUUGGACACUGCCUGAUUGGAGUGCUGGAG